rnacentral:rRNA from 1 species
CCAAGAAAAGCGUCUAGAGAGAGAAGUAGUGCCCGUACCGCAAACCGACACAGGUAGGUGAGGAGAGAAUCCUAAGGCCGGCGGAAGAAUUACAGUUAAGGAACUCGGCAAAUUGACCCCGUAAGUUCGCGAGAAGGGGUGCCUACGAGAGUAGGCCGCAGAGAAUAGGCCCAAGCAACUGUUUAGCAAAAACACAGGUCUCUGCUAAAGCGUAAGCUGAUGUAUAGGGGCUGACGCCUGCCCGGUGCUGGAAGGUUAAGGGGAACACUUAGCGCAAGCGAAGGUGUGAACUUAAGCCCCAGUAAACGGCGGCCGUAACUAUAACGGUCCUAAGGUAGCGAAAUUCCUUGUCAGGUAAGUUCUGACCCGCACGAAUGGCGUAAUGACUUGGGCACUGUCUCAACUGUAAAUCCGGCGAAGUUGUAGUGCGAGUGAAGAUGCUCGCUACCCGCGAUUGGACGGAAAGACCCCGUAGAGCUUUACUGUAGCUUAGCAUUGAGUUUUGGUAUUGUCUGUACAGG